rnacentral:rRNA from 1 species
GUAGUCAUAUGCUUGUCUCAAAGAUUAAGCCAUGCAUGUCUAAGUAUAAGCAAUCUAUACUGUGAAACUGCGAAUGGCUCAUUAAAUCAGUUAUCGUUUAUUUGAUAGUACCUUACUACUUGGAUAACCGUGGUAAUUCUAGAGCUAAUACAUGCUAAAAACCCCAACUCACGAAGGGGUGUAUUUAUUAGAUUAAAAACCAAUGCCCUUCGGGGCUCUUUAGUGAUUCAUAAUAACUUAACGAAUCGCAUGGCCUUGUGCCGGCGAUGGUUCAUUCAAAUUUCUGCCCUAUCAACUUUCGAUGGCAGGGUCUUGGCCUGCCAUGGUUACAACGGGUAACGGGGAAUGA